GAUGAACGCUGGCGGCGUGCCUAAUACAUGCAAGUCGAGCGAACAGACGAGGAGCUUGCUCCUCUGACGUUAGCGGCGGACGGGUGAGUAACACGUGGAUAACCUACCUAUAAGACUGGGAUAACUUCGGGAAGCCGGAGCUAAUACCGGAUAAUAUAUUGAACCGCAUGGUUCAAUAGUGAAAGACGGUUUUGCUGUCACUUAUAGAUGGAUCCGCGCCGCAUUAGCUAGUUGGUAAGGUAACGGCUUACCAAGGCAACGAUGCGUAGCCGACUUGAGAGGGUGAUCGGCCACACUGGAACUGAGACACGGUCCAGACUCCUACGGGAGGCAGCAGUAGGGAAUCUUCCGCAAAGGGCGAAAGCCUGACGGAGCAACGCCGCGUGAGUGAUGAAGGUCUUCGGAUCGUAAAACUCUGUUAUUAGGGAAGAACAAAUGUGUAAGUAACUAUGCACGUCUUGACGGUACCUAAUCAGAAAGCCACGGCUAACUACGUG
rnacentral:rRNA from 1 species